rnacentral:rRNA from 1 species
CUGGCUCAGGAUGAACGCUAGCGAUAGGCCUAACACAUGCAAGUCGAGGGGCAGCACAUGAGUAGCAAUACGAUGGUGGCGACCGGCGCACGGGUGAGUAACACGUAUGCAACCUACCUUUAACAGGGGAAUAACCCGUUGAAAAACGGACUAAUACUCCAUAACACAGGGGUCCCGCAUGGGAAUAUUUGUUAAAGAUUAAUCGGUUGAAGAUGGGCAUGCGUUCCAUUAGCUUGUUGGUGAGGUAACGGCUCACCAAGGCCACGAUGGAUAGGGGAACUGAGAGGUUUAUCCCCCACACUGGAACUGAGACACGGUCCAGACUCCUACGGGAGGCAGCAGUGAGGAAUAUUGGUCAAUGGAGGCAACUCUGAACCAGCCAAGUCGCGUGAAAGGAUGAAGGUCUUAUGGAUUGUAAACUUCUUUUGCAAGGGAAUAAAGUGGGGGACGUGUCCUCCUUUGCAUGUACCUUGCGAAUAAGGAUCGGCUAACUCCGUGCCAGCCGCUGC